CAUUCAUUGGUCGAAAAUUUUAUAUAACAAAGACACUCACACACAAAGAGGGCUGGGGGGGGGGAACGGAAUAAAGAGAGAGGAGGAGACGGAUAGAAAAAAAUAGAGAGCUUCAGAUAUUAAAAAAAAGAACGAAAAAAGAGAGGAGGAAACCGGGGGAGAAGAAACAGACCGAGAAAGGAAAAACGGAAAACAGAGGCGACCAUCUUCUUCACGUUUCCUCUAAAAUCCUCCUCCAUUUUUCUGCCAUAGAACACAUGAAAAACACAGGGGCCUGGACAGAAAACAGAGUCAAAAUAGAAAGGGGAACAUGUAAAAAGGGUCACGAAACAAAGGCAUCAGAGUGAGGGGAUUUAGAAAAAUAACAGAGUGACGAGGAAACGGCCAGUAGCGCCUCAACCUCGACCAAUCAGCUGCAAAUUGCCAUACAAAAAACCAUCCAAACUCCUUGAAAGCCCAGCUGAAAUGUAGCUUCAAGAACUGCCACCAAACACUAUAAAACAGAUCUUUGAACCAUUGUCAUCGUCCUCUAAAGUAGCUGGAAAAACGCAGCAACCGUCCUUCAAAAAGACCUCCAUUAGCGCCACCUCCAAAGCGGCUUCUAACACUACUCCAAAACAGUUGCGAUGCUAGCCUUGAAUUGCAGCAAUGCUAGCUACUUCUCUAAAAGUUUCGGCCGAGUUUUGAGGUUGCCGAUGAGGUUCCGUUCGAGGUCCGCCUUUGGGUUCGUCGUUGACUUUCAAAAUCUACAAAGUCACGUUAUUGCAUUGAAGGUCUGUUGUUCUGAUUUUGCUUUCUUACAGUAUUUGUUUUGAAAUACAUGAUCCUUGGUGUUUUGAAUUAUGAAUUCCAGUUUGAAUGAAGUUCUUUACUCUUUGAGAAAUACCACUGAAUAAUCUUCUUAUUAACAUAACGUCAAAGGCUAUCCUUAUCCUUUAUUUUCGGUAUCUUAUUUAUUUGCUUCACUUGUAUGUGGAAAACAUUUGCUAUUUGCGCUUUUAUUUUAGCUUACAUUAUUUUCAUGAUGGCUUUUAUUUUUAUAAGGCAUUUUAGUGCUCAUUUGUUAAUCAUUCUUCUGAUUGAUGGGGAUUUGGGGGUAGGGUAGUAUUUGGACCAAAGGUUGAUACUAGGUGCAUAUUACAAUUUGGCUAGCCAAGAUAUUAAAAUUUGGGCAUGUACUAUUGAAUACUACUUGACCAAAUAUUAAUAAUGCUAUAAACUAGCCCACUUUCAUAAUAGCUAAAAUCAUACAUUUGUCCACAAUAAACUCCAUAACUGUGAACUCCUAUGCAAUCGUCGUGAACUCAGAAAAAUUAGCUUAUGAAAAUAUCGUAGUUGCUUUUGGCACGAUUAAUAAUAAUUAUCGUGGCUAUGAGUACGGUUCCCGUGGCAUGGUCGUGAUACAUAAAACUCAAUCCGGGUGUGCAUUUCAUGUGACCCGGCUCUAAUUUCCAACAAGUUAAAUAUAACGUGUCGUGAACCACGGGUGAAUUUCAUGUAGCGUGGCUUACGAUGUGUUUUAAACAACCUUGAAUUUUCCUAAAAUAUUAAAAAGCGGUUAGAAAGUUAAAACAAUGCACAUAGGUUUUAAACGUGUAAUUAAUCAGAUAAUUAGGCCAAUCUGAAUCGUUAAGCUACCGAGCUAAAACCACGGAACCCGGGAAGUUCAACAACCAUUUUGAGCGGCAAGCUCGAUUUACGAUCAACAAAAUAAGGUUUGAAUCCAAUUCCUUUUCCAUGAAUCUGCCAACAACAUAUAUGACAUCAUACUUACGCUUACGAUAUCAUUUUCAAUAGAAACAUCAUAAGCAUAAUCUUCAAAUAUAGUCCACAUGCAUAGCACCUUAACCUUUACCGUCAACUUCUUAUUUUCCAUAUUAUCUUAUUCAAUCCACUUAAUUAGCACAUAGAUAAGCUUAACAAUAGCAGACAUAACAUAAUGAAACUAUUUAUAACAAUUUCUAGCCACAAGAAAAGAUAAUGAUUCCUUAUGCCAUAUCAAUUACUAUCUUGUAGAUUUUCACUCAAACAACUCAAUCAACACAUGAUAUACCUUAAGCACAACCAAGAAUAUGAUUUACAUACCUUAGGUAGUAUAUACAACUUGAAAUCCCCAGCUGAUGUAGCUGAUAACCACCCUCAAUCACACCACAACACUAUAGGAGUUGUAUUCUCCUCUUGAAUCAACUUUUGUGUUCAAGUUGGUGUGUAAAUACUUGUAUUUUGCCUUGAAACUCUAAUAUAUAUGAAGGAGGGACUGAUUCUUAUCUUAAUAAUAAAGAAAAACAUGAAAUCUGAAGUUACUUACCUUUGAAGAACCCUCCAAAAUAUCCACAAGAUGAAGAACUACGAUCUAGUAAGUACCACGAGAUUUCUAGCGUUGGAUUCAUGUUUUUAUCUUAGGUUUUCACCCUAAAAUCAUGGAAGAACCCUUGGAGAGAAUUUAGGAGGGUUUAGGAACUAUUUUUGAUGAGAAAAAUGAGUUAAAACAACAUAUAAUUGACUUAAAUACAAGUUGAAGUUUUACACCGACUUUGUGGGUCCCAUGGGAGCUGAUUUUGCAGUCUCGCGAAAAUGCAAAUAUCUCUCUAGUUCGAUGUCUUAUUGAUGAACGGUUUAAUGUGCUAGAAACUAGACUUGUAGAUAUUCAAUUUGAUAUGUAUAUAGUCCCUUGAUUCCAAGUAUAUUGGAAGAAAAGUGUAGCUACAUUUGACCUAAAUUUCAGCACAUUAUGGAUGUAACUUGUGAUGACCUUUGCCAACUUUUGUUCCACAACUCGCUUGACUUAAAAACAUAACACACGAAUAUCAUACAACUAAAAUAACUCAUAACUUAACCUCCUUAUCAUGUUAAUAACCCUAGUCUCUAUCCAAUAGUACAUUUUAUAACAUUCCAAACUUGUUGACUUUCGACGAAACUUAUUUUCUUCAAUUCAUUUAGCGUCUAUGCUUUCAAUCCCUUUUGGUACUUGUUAUUCAUGAUAUUAAAGAUUUGUAACCUCCAAGAUAACAUGAUGAACUUACUUUAUGUACUUUCAAUGCUAAUCUCAUUUUUUUAGCUUAUAUUAAUUGACUUACGACGUACUCUCAUGUACGAAAACAUGGGAUGUAACAUCAUUCCCCCCUCUGAAACAUUCAUCCUCGAAUGUUGACUGAUGCGUUUAUCAGUCUCAUAACCUGUAGCUCUUACGAAUACUUUAAUAGUGUCUUUGACAUCUAGGAAACUAUUCUAUAAAUAAAUCCAAAGGCCAGGGUAUUUCCCCCCUUUAGGCCUCUUUCUCAUACCAUGACAUGUGGUCAGAAUUCUUCCAAUCUCGUAACUGUUGUUACUUUAUGUCAUGCAUCAUGUACAACCGUCUACUUGUAUGUGUGCCUAUGCGACUCCUCUCUCCUUUUUCCUCCAACUUUUAACCAAUCUCUAGGCCUCACUUUGUGAAUAUAUACAGAACUAUGACAAGAUGCCCCUCUAGGAAUAUAUAGGUGUACUAAAGUUCUUCGCUUGGUACUUCGUCGAACUUACGACUAUUGCUAUACCUUGCUUCAUAGCUUCGGUUAUCUAUGCUUAUGGUUUUACUACAUCUAGGUAGGUCAUACUAUAUCCUAACUCUUACUUCGGUUUAUUAUUACCGAGGUCUUCUACCCAACUCCAGGUUACUCUCUCACCGCUUAUCCUAUAUGUCUAAAUCUAAGCCAUUUAAUGCUUCCUUACUACUGUUCAUCUAAAUAAUGGCAUCAUAAUCUCCUCUCAUACUUUGGAACAUUCAUCCAUCUAUUGUUGAUUCACCUUAAUGUUGAUCUAUAAUCCACCAUUGAUAACUUGAAACCUCUUACGUAAUACAUUGUCACUAGGGCUCACGUCUCAUCAGGGAACAUAUAAAGUAGCUUUCCUUAUCCACCUAGGGACGAUACCAUACUUCAAUAACCGUAUUUUAUAGCAUCCCAAUGUGAUCUGUCUUAUGGGGGUAUUCUAAUCCCGUGUCAUCCAAGAAAUCUCUUCUCUUUGAAUUAUUACUCAAUCGACGGCCUAAAUAUCAUCCUUUUAUAAUUUACCACAAUUACACCCUUACAUUACGACCAGGGCAACAUUCCAUCUCUUCUAAAUGCUCCUAGUCUUAGACUCCUCCGUGUUAAUUCAAGCUAUACUGAGCUUUCUAUAACUUACAAAAAUCUUCAUCUCUCUUGUUUUGAUGGGCUUAAUCCCGAAGCCUUACCUAUUUUUGUUACCAUCUCACUCACCUUUUCUUAUCCUUACUCCUAUGUACCUGAAACCUUGUCGCUCUAGGAUACUUUAUCUUGCAACCUACACACACACACACACACACACACACACACACACACACACACACACACACACAUAUAUAUAUAUAUAUAUAUAUAUAUAUAUAUAUAUAUAUAUAUAUAUAUAUAACUCGCAACCUUCAUUUAACUUGCUAGCACCAUAGAUUUCAUUUCGUGCCUUCUCAGUUUUCUUUAAAUGUAAGUAAUUACUUUUCCUGGUCGUUCUGCCACUUGUUGUAUGGAUACCUGGCUUAUCUUAGUGCCUACGAAUAUUGUAAUUCCUUGUAACUCAUAUGAUGUCAAAUAUACUUUUGAUUUUCUUCCCAUUCAUUAGCCACUAUAGGCGCCACUUUCUUAUGGAGUGCAUCCAAUGUUGUAGUGAGACUGUUGUUACCAGACCAAUUCUUCUUCAAGUUAAUAUACUUAGGUUGAAGCCCUUUUCCUUAUUUCUUGAGCUAGUCUUUCAUGGUAGUACUUAGGGGAGAUCCUCUAACUCUUGUAAAGCUACAAGCUUAUUACACCAUAUACCCGAAGAAAUUUUUGAUGUUGUCACUCACCUAUAAUUAUCCUUAGUUACUUACCUCCGCGCCCUUGUACUCGUAGGGUUUCUUCUGAACUAAAAUUUUUUACUGUCUUCCUAGUGGCAUCGUCUUUUAUUUUCGUAACACUUAAACAGUACCUUUAACAACCCCAACUCCUAUCUGAAUAUUUCUCAAGAUUAUGACGUCAUAUCUACGAGACUGAAUUCACUAUGUUGGGGUUCACUACGAUUAUCUUGAACAAUCUAUUGAUUUGUCUGUAUCCUCUUGUCUAGCCAUAACUAGGCUCUUCCUCAAUCAACUACUAACUACUCAUUAGUCCAUUCUCAUAUCUAUAUUCUAUGUAAUCUCUCUUGGGUUUUGUCCUUUGUCUUAACUUACCCCUCGCACUGACUCCUUAUGUAUCAAGUGUUCAUUUGCACUUAUUUAUCAAAAACAUAUAGUGUCGGAACCCUUACUGCUUCUCCCCGGCAUCGUGCUUGCAUAAUGUUUUGGAGUCGUAUCAUAUCUGUAGGAUUUGAAUAAAUGCAAUCUCACUCCUUUCGCUUUUCUACCAUAUUCUUCCUUGACUAUUCCAUAGUUACCUCUUCAUCUUAGGCAUCUUUUCACAUCUUCACUAAAUCUUACUUUCCUUGUGAUAACCCUUAUGUACCAUGGAUAACUGAAUUUCUUACGCACGAAGGUGACACCUAGUGUAACUGGCACACUUAGUCCCAUAAGCUUAACUCUGCUCACAGUGCUUGUGUUUGGGAAGCGUCUUCCUGAAUGAACUGUAAAGGUUAUUCUUUUGUUGUCCAAUCUCUGAAAUUGUCACGAUGUUGACUAUUAUCAAAUCCUUUGGUCUCUAAUUCAUGUUCUAUUUUAUCUUGUUUACUAGAUCAUACUAACUUCUAUUACUCUGGGGUUCUAACUUAGCCUUCUAGUAAUUAUGUUCGGGCCAGCAACUCAUUUCUCGAAAUGAGGGUAUGACCUUAUGGCUUAUACAGUUUUAUUGUAUCAAGGCUUGUCACCUCUUGUCUGUUCCUUCACUUGACUAGAGACUCUAUCAUUCUUUCAUAUUUUGAUUUACCGUUAUCACCCAUUUAUCACAUCUUACUCAUAAUGCUUCAUUAACUCUCUUCUUAUUCUCCAGCUAAUAUUUCUGUCUAUCACUUUAUUACGAAAACUUCAACCAAACGUUCUUUCACUUUUAGCUCCCCUUGCUUCAUCUCACUAGCUCUUCGGGUCGCCUAACAUUCUCUUUUUUCCUAGGGGCGAGAGUCAUACGAAGGUAAAUAUUUAUCCCUUCUAGGAUUCCAUUGCCUAUCUUCUGAAAUUUUUGAACAUUCUGGUAUUCAUAUCUCACUGUACUAUUCUAGAGUGCACUAUAUGUAUGUCUCACAAGGAGAACAAUUACCAUGUUUUGCACUACCCUUCGGAAAUGUUAGAUAAUGAUAACAAUCCAUCCAUAAUUUUGGGUUAACCCCAGCUGGAUCCUAAUAUCCUAUCCUUCUCUUAAACUAUAUCUGUUAGCUCUCAUAUGGCAUAACUAAGAUAGGUGUGUCAAUUGUAUAGACCUCUGUUACUGUUGAAGGUAACUCAAAAUACAUAUAUUUCUCUUCCUAAAUUGUAAAAACUGAUAAUCUUCACUAACUGGGUACCUCGUACCCUUCGCCACCUUGCUUCUUUUACUUGUUGAAACUAGUAUCUACCUUCUUAUUCUCUCGUUGCAUUUUAAACUAUAUGGGUGGAUUGAUAUUCAUGCCUUAGGGCUCCUUAUCAAGAAGCUUACAUAUCUUAGUACACACAUAAUCUACUAAAGACCUUACAUUUACUCAUCAUAAACAUGAUGCAAAAUCGAGUUCCUCUGAUCAACUCUUCUACAGCCACAUUCAAUCUCUUACCAACUAUCUUUGUAUAUGUAGGUGUCCUUGUAUUACGAAUAAAAUAGAAUUUAGGAGUUUGAAUUCUUACAAUUGAGAUCUACCACACGAUCUAGAGUAAUAAGAAAGAGUGAUGGUCCUAAAUGCCCUGUAGCCUCCUACUUAUAAGUGUGGUGCACAACACACCCAUAAACAAGACUCUACUAGACACGACUUUUAGACUCCCUAGGACAGAAUUGCACCAAGUUUGUCAAGACCCAAACCGAAGGGCCACGACAGGCACUCGGUGCCUUACUCAAUCGAGUACCAACAUAACUUAUCUUUCUUAUCAUACUAUCAUGGGUAAAUGAGCCAGAAAGGCCGUCAUGAGAUAACAAGAAUAAAAUAUAAGGUAAUACUCGACAAUGACGACCCAACAUGAUAUACAAACUUAUACAUGUGACAUACAUGCCCAUAAGGCCGAAAUAAUCAUUUGGACACUCAAGACAUCCGACAAGGCCAAACAAGUAUCCAUAUACAUGACAUCUGUCUACAAGCCUCUAAGAGUACAUAAACGUCAUAAAGGUCGGGACAGGGCCCCAUUAUACCAAUCAAUACAUGUCCAAAGAAUGCUGACCAAAUAGGUAACUCCGGAGCAAGUGGAGUGCACCAACACCUUCCGCUGAGCUGAUAGCCUACUAGGAGGACUGUCAACCUGUCAAUCGGGACCUGCGGGCAUGAAAUGUAGCAUCCCCAAGCAAAAGGGACAUCAAUAUGAAUAAAGUACCGAGUAUGUAAGGCAGGAAAGUAUAAAUAUGAACAAUAAUGUAAAGAGAGGUAGAGAAGAUACAAUAUGUAACAUCUACGUGCCUCUAAGGGAUACUAACAUGAAAUGCAUGAUACAUAUAUAUACAUAAACUUUUAAAAAGUAUACGCCUCUGUGGGCAUCAUCAUCAUAUUAUACCUGGCCUCGAAGAGGACUCGGUAAAAAUGUACCCGACCAUCUUAAGGUUCGGUAGAAUCGUACUCGGCCACGUGAAGCUCGGUAAAACCUAACUAAUCAGUGGUUGCACAAUAGGUGUUGUACCCGGCCGACUAUAGCGCGACUUGGUAGAGUAAAAUAGAUACAUAUAUAUAAUGCAUGCUAGACUCAUGGAAUCACAUUCUAAACCUUUCGGAGUGACAUAAGGUAAUCACACACUUGAUUAACAUUAUUGACAUCAAUACCAUCAAUAUGAACCUCAAUAGGAUUCAAGGAUCAUACAUACUUGCUUAGAAUAACUUUAUAAGGAAAGAACAACACGGGCAGCCUUAGUUGCUAGGAGUAGAUCUGUUAUGAAAUAGCGUAUCAUUUAUGUUGAUUUCUUUUUAGAUCAUGCCAAAAACGGACAGCACCUCCCUGUCAUGCAAGCUCAAUAUGAUCUUCUUACGCCUACAAUGAGUAAACCAACUUCGUCGUCAUCAUAUAAGCGUUGUAACUCUCAUAUUUGGAAACCAAUAUUCUACAAGAAAAUGAACAACACUUCCCCUAUUUGUACUACAUCCCAUAUGUUACCAAAAGUCACCAAACAGCCCAAACAACAACAAUAUAAUUUACAAUAAGUUCUCUAAUUAGUUCAACAACCAUUUUGAGCGGCAAGAUCGAUUUACGAUUAACAAAAUAUGGUUUAAAUCCAAUUCCUUUUCCAUGAAUCUGCCUACAACAUAUAUAACAUCAUACUUAUGCUUAACAUAUUAUUUUCAACACAAAUAUCAUAAGCAUAAUCUUCAAAUAUAGUCCACACGCCUAGCACCUUAACCUUUACUGUCAACAUCUUAUUUUUCAUGUUAUCUUCUUCAAUACACUGAUUUAGCACAUAGAUAAGCUUAACAACAGUAGCCACAACAUAAUAAAAAUAUUUAUAACAAUUUCCAGCCACAACAAACAAUAUAUAUAGCCUCAACAAAGGCAUAAAAAAGAUAAUGAUUCCUUAUGCCAUGUCAAUUACUAUCUUGUAGAUUUUCACUGAAACAACUCAAGCAACAUAUGAUUGACCUCACACAACCACAAACAUAAUUUACAUACCUUAGUAAUUAGAUACAACUUGAAAUCCCCAGCUGGUGUAGCUCACAACAACCCUCAAUCACACCACAACACUAUAGGAGUUGUAUUCUCUUCUUCGAUCAAAUUUUGUAUUCAAGUUGGUGUGUAAAUACUUGUAUUUUGCCUUGAAACCCUAAUAUAUAUGAAGGAGGGACUGAUUAUUAUCUUAAUCAUAAAGAAAAACACAAAAUCUGAAGUUACUUACCUUUGAAGAACCCUCCAAAACAUCCACAAGAUGAAGAACUACGAUCUAGUAAGCACCACGGGAUUUCUAGCGUUGGAUUCAUGUUUUUAUCUUAGUUUUUCACCCUAUAAUCAUGGAGGAACCCUUGGAGAGUAUUUAGGAGGGUUUAGGAACUGUUUUGGACAAGAAAAAUGAGUUAAAACGAUAUAUAAUUGACUUAAAUACAAGCUGAAAUUUUACACCGACUUUGUGGGUCCCAUGAGAGUUGCUUGCGCAGUCUUGCAAAAAUACGAAUAUCUCUCUAGUCUGAUGUCGUAUGAACGAACGAUUUAAUGCAUUAGAAACUACACUCGUAGAUCUUCAAUUUGAUAUGUAGAUCGUCCCUUGAUUCUAAGUAUAUUUAGGGCGUGUGCUACAUUUGACCUAUAUUUCAGCACAUUAUGAAUGUAACUUGUUAUGACCUUUGCCAACUUUUGUUCCACAACUCGCUUGACUUAAAAAAAUAACACACGACUAUUAUACGACUAAAAUAACUCAUAAAUUAACCUUCUUAUCAUGUUAUUCACCCUAGUUUUACCCUAAAAGUACGUGUUAUAACAUUCCAAACUUGUCGACUUUCGAUAAAACUUAUUUUCUUCAAUUCGUUUAGCGUCUAUGCUUUCCAACCCUUUUGGUACUUGUUAUUCAUGAUCUUAAAGAAUUGUAACCUCCAAGAUAACAUGAUGAACUUACGUUAUGUACUUUCAAUGACAAUCUCAUUUUUUAGCUUACAUCAAUUGACUUAUGAUGUGCUCUCACGUACGAAAACAUGGGAUGCAACACCAAGUGUGAAUGGAAUGGUUCAGUAAUCAUUCCAACCAAUCUAAAGCUUUCCCCCAUAUAGAGAAGGGAAAAAGCCUUGGCCUCAAUGCAUCCUCGAAGAUAUUUGUUUGUUUGCUCCCCCAACAAGUAUCCACAAACACCUUCAAGUGUUUAUACAUAUUUUGAGUUGGAGCACCAAUGAAGAAACCCCGUUGUUCAAGCAAAGUGAGCAUCACAUUGGUGAUUUAGAAGUUGACAGCUCUAAUAUGGAGAGGGACUAUUAUACUAGCAUAUCUUUCAUUGGGUAACACCCAGUGUGGAUCCGCUCGUGGUGGAGGUGGGGGUGGAGUGGGUACAUUGUAAUGAGGCACUCGGCCUAUUAUAUUGGCUUGAGGUUCAAGAGGAACCUCCUCAACUUGCUCAUCCUUGACGUCCACAUCCCCAAAGGCAUAUUUCCGAGUUCAUUGUUUGUCGCCAUGGUUGUACCUAAAACUGUUUCACACAAGUUAGUAACAUGGAAGGAAAAGAAGAUAUUCCAAAAACAAACCUAAAUAUAUAGCUAACAUAUAUAAAAGUUUUGGUGUCGGUCGUAUGAAAUAUAAAUUACCCAAGUAUAAGUCGGGGUCGAAUCCACAGAGAGUUAUAAGGGGUGUUAGGAGUAUAUAUUUGAAUAAAGUGAAUGGAUUACCUAAAAUUGCACUUCCACAACAAGUUUUGGUUUUUACUUCUACUAUUACUCUAAUGAUUGCAAGCUAAGGAAAUUAAACUAGAGAUGAAUGUUUUUGGUAUUUUUUCAUAUUGCUUAAAAGCCUAGGGAUGUGACCAUAACCCAUGUAUUCUUCUAAUGGGAUAAAGACGUUAAUGCUUGUUUCGUUGAUUGGGGUGUAUUAUAGCUCUCAACUCUACAUUACCCACUCAAUAUCUCUCGGUCAGAGAAUUAUUUUGUCCAAUUUGGCUUUCUCAAGUCCAAAUGGGUAUCAAACAAAAUAGUUGAUAUGAGCUCACGUUGGGUUCUUACUAUCUCUAGUUCGAACCCUUUAAUUAGGCUAAUCAAUCUCUCAAUUAGCCCAAUUCCUUGUUAGCCAAGUUAUCCUAGACUAGGUCUCUCUUUCUCAAGUAGAAACUAAGUCAAAAAGGUAUGAAUCAUUAUUUACAACUAUUAAUUCUAAAAUUAGAACAUUAACUAAGCUAAAUAAUCAACACCUAAUCAUAAACAAAUAUUAAAUUAAAUACCCAUAAAGUUUACAUACUAGGGUUGAGUCACAACCCUAGUAAGAAUCUAGCUACUCAUAAUGGGAAUUGAAGAAAAUAAAGAAGAAAAGCUAAUUAAACCCAUAAUCAAAGAUUAAAAUGGUAAAAGAUAAUGUAAAAAUACUAAAAUGGUUACAAACUUCCUAAAGUAGUAAAAGGUAAUGGCUAUAACAACUUUUUUUUUUCAAAACUUGACCUAAAAUUGUGAAACUCGUCUAUUUAUAGUGGGCCAAAAAUUGCUGACAAAAAUGCCCCUCAGGAGGUUUUGCGACCACACAAUUCCUUGUGCGAUCCGCAGAUUUCUUCAGUUGUCAGGAGAUUGGAUUAUAGCCGCACAUUUCUGGAUUAUGGCUGCGAAGCAACUUCUUUGGCCGCACAAUUCUUGUGUGGUCCACACUUCCGCAAAGCACCAGGACAUGGUCUUCUACAUACUCUCUGAACUCUAAAUUACUUGUCAGUGCAGACCCUGUUUUGCGGCCGUACAAUUCAUGUGUGCUCCGCAUAUUUGUAAAAAUCCUGUUGGGUUAUUUACUUGGGGUAGAUGAAAUUCUAUUGUCCGCACUUUCUUCUGCGGCCGUAGAAAUCCUUCUGCGAACCGCACUUCUUUGUUUCUGCUUCCUUCAUUGCCUUGUGUUUCGGAACAAUUUUUUUGAGUCGGAUUUCAUCAUGGGAGACCAAACUUCCAAUAUUCCUGUAAUUUGUAUAAUUUUAUUAGUUUCGGAAACAUAAAUCAAUACUUUCAGACUAAAACAAAAGCAAAAAGGUGCUAAUAAGUAGUCAAAAUCUCCACUUAUCAGUUUCCAGACCCAACAAAGACACCACCACCCACGUGGAGGCGUAUCUAAGUGUUUACAUUUACCCUUUCACGCUCGCCUCAGUGGAUCCUAUAAUCCUCGGCUUCUGCAAAAGGUACGAGGUCUGCCUUGUGCAGAUUCACCCGUCCUUUUGAAGGAUCAUAAUCCUCCUCCGCCACUUUAUAAACGACACCAAAGCACCUCGGUUCACCCUCAAUCACCUGUUUUGUCUUUACAAGCCCCGAAUCUUUCGAGGGAGGUUGAUCAAGCUCGUUCGCCGAGCAAGUAAAGCUCCAUUCUCCAUUCUAAGAGAUAUAAAAUACUAUGUUUUUUCAAUCGAAGGAGAAAAAUGCUUUACAUUAAAGUCGUUGAAUUAUAAUUUACCUCGUCCUAUCUCCUAAGUGUUAGUUCAUGAUAAUUAGUUGCGACAUCCAAAAUUAUAAAAACAAUAAUUUUGAACUCUAACAAAAUAAAAAUAACAAACAAUUAUAAGAAGCAAUAUUCUCACAAUUUAAAGUUACGUGUAAAAUAAAGCACGUUAUUAAUAUUUGUAGAAAUUAAAUCUUAUUUAAACUUAAAGUUCUAAAUUUUGGGACUUCUUAUAUGGGUCAAAUAAGAAAAGAUUUAUACAUAAAGUUAUACUUUAUUUUAAAGUCCUCAAUGUUUAGAAAAAUAAUUAAAUAUAUAUUUUUAAAUAUUAAAAAAUUAAAAAUAAAUUAUUUUAUCUAUGUGAACUCUAUCUUUUAAAGGUAAAAAAAAAGCGAAAAAAAUUUUCUAAGGGAUUUUUGUGCUUUUAAUAUAUAAUAUAAUAUAGAUAUAAUAAAUAUAUGUUCAAACUCUUUUCAACUGAAGUUACCUUAUCGUUUAUAUGCAAACUAAUUGUCUACAUUUAAAGUAGUAUUACAUACUCCAAAUAAAGAAAUAAUUUAUACAAGGUAGUAUAUUAAUCAAUUUUAAAGUCCUAAAUGCUUGGACUUAGUACAUAGUUUAAAAGAGAAAAGAUUUUAAAACAAAAAUUUUAGUUGAUUUUUAAGUUUUAAAUAAUAAGAAAAAAAUUAAAUUUACAGUUUUUUUUUCAAAUGUAAAAUCUAUUUUAAAGGGCAAAAAAAUAGAAUUCAUGCUUUUAAUAGAGUAUAGAUAGAAAGAUAAAUAGAUAGAUAGAUAGAUAGAUAGAUAUAGAUUAUAAGUUGGUAUGGACGUUAAAAUGAGGAUAGACAAGACAUUACUGGAAUUUGAAGCUAAAUAAGGAAAAAGGUCUCAACUGAAAUAUAAAAUGAGAAACAAAAUGAAAUAUCUAAAUAUAUUAUACUACAGCUGCUUAUACGGAGAAGUAUACAUAAACAAAAUAUUAAUAAAUAAGUACAUACAUCGGAGGAAUAUAUUGAAAGUAAUUCACAAUUAUAAUCCCAACUCCUCAACUCAAACAAAACAAAAUGACUCGACUGAUAAAUAAACCCAGCCACAUAAUGAUGGGGAGAUGUUUUACACUUUACCACCCUCAGUCUAAUCUCUAGAGCUUCACAAUGGAUGGGGAAAUACAUUAUUAUUCCACAAGAAUACCAUUUUUCAAUGCUCAAAGCAUCCUUGUAAGUCCAUAAAACGUGAGUUGUAUCUAUAAUAAAAUGAUUGUAAUUGUUUAUAGCUCCAGUGAUCAUCCCAUUUUGCUCAAGGACUGAGUUUUUUGUGACGAAGUUCUUGAGAUUCACCAGCGGAAUGGACAAAUUCACCAGUAGUACCAUGUUCACUGCCUGUGAAUUCUUGGCUCGACAUUCCAGAUUUCCUGAACUUUUUAACGUCAUAUGAACCUCCGUCGUAUUCGGAACUUUCACCAGAACCAAACAUUGCGCUAUGGCUCUUUUUCAUUCCCUCGUUCAAAUCAUCCAGAGAAACAUCACCUUCCAAAGCACGUACAAUCUACAACAUAAUUAUUUUAUUAGCCAAUCUCUCUUUUAGCAUUAGAAAUUCGAACCCUAUAUAUGUGUCUGUGAAGUGUGAAGCUUCCAGGGGAAGCCUUUUGGUAGAACUGAAACCCUAUUAUUUGCUGGUACUAUUAGGCUACAACUCCAAUUUUGUCAAUAGAAUUUAAAUGCUAGCUAGACUAUGGAGUAGUAAUUAGGCACUAUGUCCUUCGUCUUGAUGUAUUUUACUUUGGAAUGUUAAUAUACGUGUCAGGGUCUAUGCAUAAUGAGGCUUUAUUGAACAAAAACAAAAAGCUAAUUAACCUGACUCAUUUUUGGACGUCUUCUUGCAGAAUGUCUGAUGGAUGCAGCAGCACAAGCCACCAUACAUAGCAUCUCUUGGGCAUCAAAAUUUCCCUCCAAACGUGGAUCUAUCAAUUCAUCAUAGUUUCCGCCCUCUGUUGCACGAACCAGAAUUGGCCUAGCCUGGAUAUAUAUGUAUAUAUAUAUAUAUAUAUUAAAAUUAAUUUGAUCAAAUUAAGUGCAUACGUGUUUGCAUUCAUAGAUCAUGUCUUGUAAGCCAAAAAAAUUGUUUCAAUUAUAUCAUUAAUGAAAACAUACCCAC
rnacentral:lncRNA from 1 species